rnacentral:tmRNA from 1 species
GGGGGCGAACGGUUUCGACGGAAUAUGCAUCGUGGAAAAUGGCAUGUCGAGGUCCAGGUAUCUCGUAAAUCACUUGGAAAAACCAUAAAUGCCGAUUACGGCUACAUGGCCGCUGCUUAAUUAAGCUGGCCCGUCCUGGAUCUGGUGCGCCUAUGGCCAGAUUUAAGGGCGUCAAUUUCAUAGGCUGGUUCUGAAUGUUGUCUAUGAUUUCAGAAUAAGAACUUUAAUAGACUUUGCCCAUAAUGGCUGUGUCAAUGGGGCAGUUAUGGGUGAGCAAAAUCCGUUUGACUAUACAUGUAGAUGUUUUCCGGGAUUCUAUUUCGGACGGGAGUUCGAUUCUCCCCGCCUCCACCA